rnacentral:lncRNA from 1 species
CCCGAGCACGUCAAACAGACGCCGAACGGACAGAGUUUUCCCUAUCCGCCCAAGGCUCAUCACAUGUACAAAUUCAAACAAGAAAUGCACUAGCGGAAACAUACACAAACGGCUUACACGAGAGUAAGCAAUAGCCAUUAGUGAAAGAAAGGAAAACUAAACAUUCAUUUGUACUAUGAUUCAUUUUUGAUCAUAUACAUUGCAUUCAUCUUGUUCAUUUUCGAAUUCCCUACACGUCACUUCAUCAUUUCUUUCUUACAUCACAUUUACCACAAAAUAUACAUUACAUUCUUUUCUUUACAUUACUAGUCAUCAUAUACAAAA